GGUGAAGGAAGAAAGGGCAUGCAGUGGAUGCCUAGGCGGCAGGAGGCGAAGAAGGGCGUGGCAAGCUGCGAAAAGCCCGGGGGAGCUGCAAGCGAGCGUUGAUCCCGGGAUACCCGAAUGGGGAAACCCGCAUGGGUGAGAGCCCAUGUGCCGAAAGGCGCGAUACCCGGGGAAGUGAAACAUCUCAGUACCCGGAGGAGAAGAAAUCAAACGAGAUUCCCUGAGUAGAGGCGAUCGAAAGGGGAGGAGCCUAAACCAGCGCGAGCUGGGGUUGUGGGACACAGUUAGGCUGAGUCCGCACUGAAGCGUUGUAUAGCCGAACAGUCUGGGAAGGCUGACCGUAGAGGGUGACAGUCCCGUAGGCGAAAUGCAACGCGUAGGUGUGACUGUGAUCCCGAGUAGCGCGGGACUCGAGGAAUCCCGCGUGAAUCAGGGGGGACCACCCUCCAAGGCUAAAUACUACCUGCCGACCGAUAGCGCAACCAGUACCGUGAGGGAAAGGUGAAAAGCCCCCCGGAAGGGGAGUGAAAGAGACCUGAAACUGCAUGCCUACAAGAAGUCGGAGCCCGCGAGGGUGACGAUGUGCCUUUUGAUUAAUGAGCCUGGGAGUUAUCGCAUCUGGCGAGGUUAAGCCGAUAGAGGCGGAGCCGAAGCGAAAGCGAGUCCGAAUAGGGCGCGAGUCAGGUGCGAUAGACCCGAAGCCGGGUGAGCUACCCAUGGGCAGGGUGAAGGUGGGGUAAAACCCACUGGAGGCCCGAACCGGUGGAUCGUGAAAAAUCCUCGGAUGACCUGUGGGUAGGAGUGAAAAGCUAACCGAACUCGGUGAUAGCUGGUUCUCCCCGAAAUGCAUUGAGGUGCAGCCUCAGCAGUUCUGUGGCGGAGGUAGAGCGCUGGUAGGGCUAGUGGGGUAACCUGCGAACCCUGUCAAACUGCGAAUGCCGCCACACGAUAUGCUGGGAGUGAGCCCGUAGGGGAUAAGCUCUACGGACGAGAGGGGAACAACCCAGACCGUCGGCUAAGGGCCCGGAGAGGUGGCUAAGUGUGAAGAGGAAGGAUGUGGUGUGUCCCUGACAACCGGGAUGUUGGCUUAGAAGCAGCCAUCAUUUAAAGAGUGCGUAACAGCUCACCGGUCGAGACGCACUGCGCCGAAAAUGUGCGGGGCUGAAGCCACCCCCCGAAGCCACGGAACCAGAAAUGGUUGGUAGGGGAGCGUUCCGCGGUAGGGAGAAGGUAGACUCGAGAGAGCUACUGGACGAGGCGGAAGUGAGAAUCCAGGCAUGAGUAUACGAGAGGAUGGUGAGAAUCCAUCCCCCCGAAAGCCUAAGGGUACCUGGGGAAGGGUCGUCCGCCCAGGGUGAGUCGGGACCUAAGGAAAACCCGAAAGGGGUAUCCGAUGGGAAACCGGUUAAUAUUCCGGUACCAGCUGUGUAUCGAUACUGCAAGCGGGGACGCAGGAGGCUAAGUUCUGGGGAUAAGUGGCAAAUCCCUCCAAGCGGUUAGGUGUUGAGGGCUGUAGGUAAGUCCGCAGCCUGAGCUGAGCCGUGAAGGGGAGGCUCCGAGAGGGGCCAACGGGACUGACGCCACACUGCCAAGAAAAGCCGCGUGUAGUGAUACAUGGCUGCCCGUUCCGCAAACCGACACAGGUAGGCGGGCUGAGAAAGCUAAGGGGAGCGGGAUAACCCUUGCCAAGGAACUCGGCAAAUUAGCCCCGUAACUUCGGGAGAAGGGGUGCUACGUUAGGUUGAAGUCAGGGGAAUCCGCGAGGAGGAAACUGACGGAGGCCGAGGUAGCCGCAGUGACAAGGCCCUGGCGACUGUUUACCAAAAACACAGGUCUCUGCCAACUCGAUGAGAGGAAGUAUAGGGACUGACGCCUGCCCGGUGCCGGAAGGUUAAGGGGAGGGGUGCAAGCUCCGAACCGAAGCCCCGGUAAACGGCGGCCGUAACUAUAACGGUCCUAAGGUAGCGAAAUUCCUUGUCGGGUAAGUUCCGACCUGCAUGAAUGGCGUAACGACUGGGGCACUGUCUCGGCAGGGGACCCGGUGAAAUUUCAGUCUGGGUGAAGAUGCCCAGUACCCGCAGCUAGACGGAAAGACCCCGUGGAGCUUUACUGUAACCUGGUAUUGUGCUCUGUUGCGGCGUGUACAGGAUAGGUGGGAGGCUAAGAAGCGGGCUCGCCAGGGUCCGUGGAGCCGACGGUGGGAUACCACCCUCGUUGCAGCGGAGUUCUAACCUACGUGUGUGGAGAGCACACGAGGGACAGUGCCAGGUGGGCAGUUUGACUGGGGCGGUCGCCUCCCAAAGAGUAACGGAGGCGCGCAAAGCUCGGCUCAGGUGGGUUGGAAAUCCACCGUUGAGUGCAAGGGCAAAAGCCGGGCUGACUGCGAGACCGACGGGUCGAGCAGAGGGGAAACCCGGUCCUAGUGACCCGGCGACUCCGAGUGGAAGGGUCGUCGAUCAACGGACAAAAGUUACCCCGGGGAUAACAGGCUAGUCUAGCCCGAGAGUUCACAUCGACGGCUAGGCUCGGCACCUCGAUGUCGGCUCAUCCCAUCCUGGGGCUGAAGCAGGUCCCAAGGGUUAGGCUGUUCGCCUAUUAAAGGGGUACGUGAGCUGGGUUCAGACCGUCGUGAGACAGGUCGGUCCCUAUCUGCUGCGGGCGCAAGAGGCUUGAGGAGGGUCGCCCUUUGUACGAGAGGACCAGGGUGAGGGAGCCACUGGUGUACCAGCUGUCCUGCCAAGGGCAUACGCUGGGUAGCUACGCUCCUGAGCGAUAACCGCUGAAAGCAUCUAAGCGGGAAGCGCGCUCCAAGAUGAGGCCUCCAAGGCCGGUCCGAGAAGAGGACCUAGAUAGGCCGGUGGUGGGAGCACCGAGAGGUGUGGAGCCAACCGGUACUAAUAGGCCGAAUCCUUCACCUU
rnacentral:rRNA from 1 species